CUUUCCUCAUUAGAGGGUGGCCUUUAUAAAUGCUCACCCUUGGAUGGUCUACUGUUCUGCUUUUGUCUAGUUUGCCUACAGUGUCCCCUUCGAGCUUCUUCAGCAGUGCUUCACUGGAAGUGGUAUCAGGUACAUUAAUUCGGUGGCCGAUCUCUCUCUUUUCAAGCAUUUCAUUUAACGCUUCUGAAGAAAAUUCAUAUGUAUUUGUAUUGAUGACAUCUGCUCCAUUCAUUACAAGUAGAUUAACCAUGUUUUCAUGCUUCUCUUUCAUGGCAAUCUGCAACGCUGUUAAUCCAUGACGAUUCUUUGCAUCUAUGGGCAAUCCAUGUUUCAGUAGUUCUUUCAUCACUGUCUGAUCAUUUCUUUGUGCAGCAAGGCAUAAGAGAUCACCGGCAGUGAACGGGUUGGAAACAGCAGCACAAUUAUAUAGGACCCUAAAUAUCGAAUGGUGUUUUGAGGAUAUCGCAUUCCAUAGUGAGGUGUUGCCAUUCAUAUCUGCCACAUACAUGGAAUAACAAGAUACAACGUAAGAACUUGAUUCAUUCUCGGAUCAAUGGUGUUAACAUCAUAUUUUACCUUGUAAAUGUACAUUGCAUGCAUGCUUAAGGAGUACCAGCACACAAUCUUCAUGCCCUUUUGUUGCUGCUAUGUGCUGAGGAAUCACACAAGAUAUUUUCAUUAAUGCAUGAACAUUCUUUGAAACAUAUUGACUUGAAAGGUCAACAGAAAAUAAAGCUUACCAAUGGGGUUCUUCCUUUAGAAUCUCCGAUGUCAGGAUCCAACCUUGCUUUCAGAAGCUCAUCAAGAAAAGCAGCAUUGCCUAUAUCGGCCGCAUUCAGCAAAUUAAUAGUGAUGUUUUUUGGCUCAUCGUCUUCUUCUCCGCCCUCUUCUGCUAGGUCUCCGAUUUUAAGAUCCUUUAGCCUUUUGUUAUGCUGCAACACAUUACAUGUUCAAUCUUUUGUCCUCUGCAGUCUGAGAACAGAUACAUUACAUGUUCAACUGACCUGUAGUAAAUUCUUAAAGAUGGCUACAUUAUCUUCGUGUUUGGUCUGCAUCGAUUCAAUCAGGUCAGUUGUUUUUAGCCUCAGGAGUUGAGAAAGCGUCUUAGUUCGGUACAUAAAUCUUUGAGGUCUGCAACAAAUUGCACAGGUUUCUCCGAACAUAUCCCCGGAUUGCAAGGUUCCAACAACCAUCUCUCUCUCCAUGUCACAAUUAAUGAUUUCCACUUCUCCGGACACAAUGAUGUAAACAUCAUCUGGUGCUUCAUUCUGCAUUAUUACAUCCUCUCUCGGUGGGAGAUACUCUGCCUUCAUCUUCGCGACCUGAUCAUUGUUUCGAGAUCCCCUGAGGUUUAAUUUUCUUAUCCUACAAGCUUAAACUCUACGUGCAAAAGCAGGAAAAAGUACUAUGUAGGCCAUUGUAUUAGGAGUUGGAGUAUAUUUUGCCCCUUUAUGAAAAAAAGGGCAAAUUAGCCCCUAUACGUUAGAUCAAAGAGUAAACCAGUUUUUUUAUUAAAAACUCAAUUCAUUUCUACUGUUAAAAGUAGUCCUUGUAUGUCAGAAUGAGAUACAUGUGACGUGAUUAUGCUGUUGACCACUCUAGGUUUUAACAAUAAAAAUGGAUAAAAUUUUAACAAAAAGGACUGCUUUGCUAUUUGAUCUGACGUACAAUGAUUAAUUUGUCCAAUUUUUUGAGUAAAUGGGACAAAAUGAAAUUUAACUUCUAAUAUAAGGGCCUUCAUGAUACUUUUACAUGCAAAAGCAUAGUAUAGCAUGCUUACCAGAUGCUGCAAAAUUUCCCUUGAUAUUCCAUUGAACAGGUACACUUUCUCCACUGUUGGCAAGAACAAAUGCUGGCAAAUCCCUGUAUAAAUGGAUUUUGGUAAUUGUUCAAUUAGUUGCUGUUGGUUCAAGCUCUCAGCCUUGAACCUCAAACACAUGUAAGCCAAUAUCUGCUCUUUCAACCUCG
rnacentral:lncRNA from 1 species